rnacentral:rRNA from 1 species
GAGUUUGAACCUGGCUCAGGAUGAACGCUGGCGGCGUGCUUAACACAUGCAAGUCGAACGGACCCAUAUUGAAACCUAGUGAUAUAUGGGUUAGUGGCGGACGGGUGAGUAACGCGUGGGCAACCUGCCUUACACAGGGGGAUAACACUUAGAAAUAGGUGCUAAAACCGCAUAAGCGCACAGCUUCGCAUGAAGCGGUGUGAAAAACUCCGGUGGUGUAAGAUGGACCCGCGUCUGAUUAGCUUGUUGGCGGGGUAACGGCCCACCAAGGCGACGAUCAGUAGCCGGCCUGAGAGGGCGGACGGCCACAUUGGGACUGAGACACGGCCCAGACUCCUACGGGAGGCAGCAGUGGGGAAUAUUGCACAAUGGGGGAAACCCUGAUGCAGCGACGCCGCGUGAGUGAAGAAGUAAUUCGUUACGUAAAGCUCUAUCAGCAGGGAAGAAAAUGACGGUACCUGAGUAAGAAGCCCCGGCUGACUACGUGCCAGCAGCCGCGGUAA